rnacentral:rRNA from 1 species
UACGUAGGGGGCAAGCGUUGUCCGGAAUCAUUGGGCGUAAAGAGCGUGUAGGCGGCCAGAUAAGUCCGCUGUGAAAUCUCGAGGCUCAACUUCGAGCUGUCGGUGGAAACUGUCUGGCUAGAGUCCGGAAGAGGAGAAUGGAAUUCCUGGUGUAGCGGUGAAAUGCGCAGAUAUCAGGAGGAACACCCGUGGCGAAAGCGGCUCUCUGGGACGGUACUGACGCUGAGACGCGAAAGCGUGGGGAGCAAACAGG